rnacentral:rRNA from 1 species
UACGUAGGGUGCGAGCGUUGUCCGGAAUUAUUGGGCGUAAAGAGCUUGUAGGUGGUUUGUCGCGUCUGCUGUGAAAAUCCGAGGCUCAACCUCGGACUUGCAGUGGGUACGGGCAGACUAGAGUGUGGUAGGGGGAGACUGGAAUUCCUGGUGUAGCGGUGGAAUGCGCAGAUAUCAGGAGGAACACCGAUGGCGAAGGCAGGUCUCUGGGCCAUUACUUGACACUGAGAGACGAAAAGCUAGGGUAGCAAAUGGG